rnacentral:rRNA from 1 species
CAGUCGCCGCGGUAAUACGUAGGUGGCAAGCGUUGUCCGGAAUUAUUGGGCGUAAAGGGCUCGCAGGCGGUUUCUUAAGUCUGAUGUGAAAGCCCCCGGCUCAACCGGGGAGGGUCAUUGGAAACUGGGAAACUUGAGUGCAGAAGAGGAGAGUGGAAUUCCACGUGUAGCGGUGAAAUGCGUAGAGAUGUGGAGGAACACCGGCGGCGAAAGCGGCUCUCUGGCUUGUAACUGACGCUGAGGAGCGAAAGCGUGGGGAACGAACAGGAUUAGAUACCCGCGUAGUCCCUGUCUCUUAUAC